GCCCAGAUGGCGGAAGUGGUAGACGCGCAUGGUUGAGGGCCAUGUGACCGCUCGGUCGUGCAAGUUCGAGUCUUGUUCUGGGCA
rnacentral:tRNA from 1 species